UGGGGAAUAUUGCACAAUGGGCGAAAGCCUGAUGCAGCGACGCCGCGUGAGGGAUGACGGCCUUCGGGUUGUAAACCUCUUUCAGUAGGGACGAAGCGCAAGUGACGGUACCUGCAGAAGAAGCACCGGCUAACUACGUGCCAGCAGCCGCGGUAAUACGUAGGGUGCGAGCGUUGUCCGGAAUUACUGGGCGUAAAGAGCUCGUAGGCGGUUUGUCACGUCGUCUGUGAAAUCCUAGGGCUUAACCCUGGACGUGCAGGCGAUACGGGCUGACUUGAGGACUACAGGGGAGACUGGAAUUUCUGGUGUAGCGGUGGAAUGCACAGAUAUCAGGAAGAACACCGAUGGCGAAGGCAGGUCUCUGGGUAGUAACUGACGCUGAGGAGCGAAAGCAUGGGUAGAGAACAGG
rnacentral:rRNA from 1 species